UGUGAUGCUCAAAAUCUCUUCAAGACUGGU
rnacentral:piRNA from 1 species